rnacentral:snRNA from 1 species
GGAUGUGAGGGCGAUCUGGCUGCAACAUCUGUCACCCUGUUGAUCGCUAGGGUUGAUUCGGCUGAUCUGGCUAGCUAGACAGGUGUCCCCUUCCUCCCUUACCGCCCCAUGUGCAUGCAUCCCUCCUGAAGCUGCAUGCCGGGUCGAAGAGGAUGACCUUCCCCUAAGAGAGGAAGAUUGGUCUUUGGUCAAGUGUAUACGAGUAACUGCGCUCCCCUGCUAGAACCUCCAAAUGUGGUUUUUGAAAAGGUCCGUUUGAAAAGAUUUUUAAGACUUAUCAAGCCCUAGCCAAGAUAACCAAAAGAGCAAGAAAAUACAAAUUAAUAAACUGGAAAUGUAAAAGAAGAUUU